rnacentral:rRNA from 1 species
AACGUAGGUGGCGAGCGUUAUCCGGAAUUACUGGGCGUAAAGGGUGCGUAGGCGGCGCGGAAAGUAGGGUGUGAAAUCCCUCGGCUUAACCGAGGAAUAGCGCUCUAAACUACCGUGCUCGAGGGAGAUAGAGGUGAGCGGAACUUAGGGUGGAGCGGUGAAAUGCGUUGAUAUCCUAAGGAACACCGGUGGCGAAAGCGGCUCACUGGAUCUCUUCUGACGCUGAUGCACGAAAGCUAGGGUAGCGAACGGG